GCGGCAGCCUGAAUUAGCAAACAAGGUUAUGCCUCUUCCUAUAUCCUUGCAGACAACAAUGNCAAAAUGAUGGUCUUGUUGGACGUCCUCUUCAGCAGCCUGUUUCUGAUGCACAGUUAGCUGAGUUUCCCAUCACAAAUGAGACAAUGAACCAGCAAAAGGAGCUGACAAUUGAAGGGGGAACAAUCAGCAUCUCCAGCAUUUACUCUCAAGGGUUGUUGAACAAUCUUACACAAGCACUGCAGAGUGCUGGUGUUGAUUUGUCACAGGCCAAUGUCUCGGUGCAGAUUGAUCUAGGAAGGAGUUCAAAUAAAGGGCUGACAUCUAGAACAUCUGUUGCUAAGAACCCUCCAGCGGUGACAAAUCUUAGGGAUGUGGGCAGUGAAGGGGACUCAGAUCGGGCUCAAAAACGGCUGAAGACAUAAGACUGGUAUAGUUUCUUGGCUCUUCAUAUUCUCUCUGUUUCUCUAUCCUUUGAUCUACUAUUUCUCUUGGAUUUCUUCCCCUGGUGUACAUGCUAUGCUUUUUGUUUCUUGGACUCAUAGCAGUAUUUCUUGAGAUUCAUGUCAAGAGUUAUCACCUUAGAUGAUAUGUUUUCCCUGGAAUUUCCCCGCAGUUCUCUG
rnacentral:misc_RNA from 1 species